GGUGUAUUCAUGUGAACUGUUACAUGUAUUAACAGUAAACAAAGGAGUUUUCAUGGUGAAGUCUCGGCAUUGAACUUCAGUAUUCCUACUUCAGUUUGUUUUUUCUGUCUAAUAAGUACACUAAUUUAAGAAAAGUGAAAAUUUACCUGCAGCGGUAGGUUGUGUUUAUCUUCUAUGCAUUUUUUUCCAGUGGAUUGCCUUGGUGCUUUCAGAAGAAGCUAGGAAGUCUAUUUGGUCUGUUGCUGUUGGGUACUUUGAGACUGAACGCUAUAUUCUGUGAUGGAAGAAAUGCAAUGCUGUUAAUCGCUGAUGAGAACAGAAUACCUGGCUAUGUGGUACACCCAACACCUCCUCUCUAUACCUGCCCGGCAUAAUGUGUAUGCUGUACAUGAAUACAAGAUGCAGGAGACUGACUACAGCCAUGAUGGGAGGAAACACCAUGCAGCAGUGACUCUGUUUCUUAUGUUACCUGGGAUGGAAGCAGGUGAUUAUCCUCAGGAGCUGCCACAUCCUUUUCUGGGAGCUCUCACAGUUGAAGCGAAAGAGGACAUUGGAGGACCCUAUAAUGGUCACUUAAGGAGCGUCUUCUAGCAGUGGCAUGAAAAGGCUCAUGGUGUCAGAGGCAGAUAUUGGUGGUAUGGCAGUAGAGGAUGAACCUUCCCACCAAUAUUCCAUUACAUGUUGUUGCCAUGUGACAGAUGGCAGUACAGGGGCAGUCUGACAGAAUGGUGUCUGACAUGGAAGAGUGUGUGAAGCAAAGAUGUCACUGAAUUCCUCCAUGCAGAAAAAAAGUGACACCCACUGACAUUCAUCAACAGUUGCUGAACAUUUAUGAAGACCAAACAUUGGAUGUGAGCACAGUGAGGCAGUGGGUGGUGUGGUUCAGCAGUGGUGACAUCAACAGUGGCUCACCUCUGCUGGUGCAGAUUUUUAUGAUCAUGGCAUGCAGGCUUUUGUCCAAGACUGGCAACAAUGCAUAGCUAAUGGUGCUGACUAUGUUGCAGAACAGUGUUUUGUAACUGAAUUUUCUCUGUCAAAUAGUUUUAUUGUGCUCUUUGCAUCUGUUGCAGUUUCCACGGAAAUAAAUAGGAGGCAUUACUUUUCGAGUGACC
ensembl:lncRNA